rnacentral:rRNA from 1 species
AGAAGUGGCGGCCGCUAACACAGCAAGUCGAUGCGCAGUCAUUGUGGCAAUACAGGUAGGCGGGCGCACGGCGCACGGGUGCGUAACACGUGGGCAAUCUGCCCUUUGAUGGGGAAUAACCCGCCGAAAGGCGGGCUAAUACCGCAUAACAUCCCCAAUUCGCUUCCGGCGAUAGGGAUUAAAGUCCCGCAAGGGCGUUCAUUAGGAAGGAGCUCCGCGGUCCGAUUAGCUAGUUUGGUAGGGUCAAUUAGGCCUACCAAGGCUUGGAUCGGUAGCCGGNNCUUGUAGAGGACGAUCGGCCACACUUGGUAACUUGCAGACACGGUUCCAUACUUCCUAACGGGCAGGCAACCAUUGGGGAAUCUUGCCCAAUGGGCGAAAGCCUUGACGCAUACAAUCGCCGUCGUGGGGGAAUGAAAGCCUUCUUCCGGAGUGUAAAACCCCCUUUCUAACCCGGACCAAUUCAAUCCGUCAAUGGNU